rnacentral:rRNA from 1 species
ACUACGGGAGGCAGCAGUGGGGGAUAUUGCACAAUGGGGGGAACCCUGAUGCAGCGACGCCGCGUGGGUGAAGAAGCGCCUCGGCGCGUAAAGCCCUGUCAGCAGGGAAGAAAAUGACGGUACCUGAAGAAGAAGCCCCGGCUAACUACGUGCCAGCAGCCGCGGUAAUACGUAGGGGGCAAGCGUUAUCCGGAUUUACUGGGUGUAAAGGGGGCGCAGACGGCGAUGCAAGCCAGGAGUGACAGCCCGGGGCCCAACCCCGGGACUGCUCUUGGAACUGCGUGGCUGGAGUGCAGGAGGGGCAGGCGGAAUUCCUGGUGUAGCGGUGAAAUGCGUAGAUAUCAGGAGGAACACCGGUGGCGAAGGCGGCCUGCUGGACUGCAACUGACGUUGAGGCCCGAAAGCGUGGGGAGCAAACAGGAUUAGAUACCCGAGUAGUC